UAGGGUGUAGCUACUGAUCCUAUACUACAGCAGAGAGAGUGAGAGUGGAGGGGAGGAGGGACAUCAGGUGUCACAUCUCCACAAACCCUGAUGAAGCUGCAUUACCACGACAACCAGCCUCCCGGGGUACCACCAGCUCCCUGCUCCACCGGCCCCGCACCCAACCGCCUGCCCCGGCCAGCUUCCCUGCAAUCCACCAAUCCAUCCCCGCGACCGGCCCGGCCAGCCCUCCCCAGAACUGGCAACCUGCAGGAGUCAUCAGGCUGCCACAGAUGUUGGAAAGAUGCAAAAGAGAGGAGCCGGCAGAGGUGACGCGACACCCCCCGGAGAGGGCAACUUCUCUGAUUUCCACUGGAAAAAAGCUCUUCCCCAUCAGAGCGCCAUCUGCUGACUCAGUGGGGUGGAACAGCUGGUGUUGUGAAUCAGGCCGCCACAGUGCAGGGACCGGCUACUUCCCAACACCAGGGUCUCACCAUCACUCCUCUCGCCUCGCCGCCAUCAUGGAGCCCAGCUCAUUUGUGUAGAAAAAAUCUUUCUGAUGUGUGUCUCUGAAAAGCACGGAUAGCAGGAAAAGUAGAGCAAAAAUCGUUGUUAUAUAUUUCAGCAAAUGUGAGAAAGAAAAUGGUUAAACUAUGAAAAUUGUAUUUUUGGUCAAAUGAUAAAUAAAUAUUGUGAAUUUCAAAUAUUGAAUUUGCAGUAUAAUUUUGCAUUAAAUACAAAAUAAUCACUUGUUAUUUAAAUAAAAUGUAUGUGUACUAGACUGUCUUUCAUAUUGGGGUCUUCCUUAUUUCCAAAAAAAACACCAUGAAUGAGCACAGUACCAGA